GAUGAACGCUGGCGGCGUGCCUAAUACAUGCAAGUCGAGCGAACAGAUGAGGAGCUUGCUCCUCUGACGUUAGCGGCGGACGGGUGAGUAACACGUGGAUAACCUACCUAUAAGACUGGGAUAACUUCGGGAAACCGGAGCUAAUACCGGAUAAUAUAUUGAACCGCAUGGUUCAAUAGUGAAAGACGGUUUUGCUGUCACUUAUAGAUGGAUCCGAGCCGCAUUAGCUAGUUGGUAAGGUAACGGCUUACCAAGGCAACGAUGCGAAGCCGACCCGAGAGGGUGAUCGGCCACACUGGAACUGAGACACGGUCCAGACUCCUACGGGAGGCAGCAGUAGGGAAUCUUACGCAAUGGGCGAAAGCCUAACGGAGCAACGCCGGGUGAGUGAUGAAGGUCUUCGGAUCGUAAAACUCUGUUAUUAGGGAAGAACAAAUGUGUAAGUAACGAUGCACGUCUUGACGGUACCUAAUCAGAAAGCCACGGCUAACUACGUG
rnacentral:rRNA from 1 species